UAUAUUUCUUUAUUAUUUGACACGUGUAUUUGUUUAAUGGCCCUCUGCUCCACCAGUAUGGAAGCUCCAAAAGGAAAGAUACCAGAUUGAUCUUGAUCACCUCUGCCUCCCCAGCACCUAGUCUUCCUUGGCACAUCGUGAGUGCUCGGGUCAGGCUGUGCCACAUCCACCCAGCCUUGCCUGGGGUCAUUUAUCCUACAUGUACUCAGAUCACGUGAACUGGUGAUGGGCCACCCAUGUGCCUGCCUGGAGACUCCUAUUCACCCUUCAGAUCAAUAUCCCCCAAAUAAACUCCCAGUCACUCUGGCAUCCCA
rnacentral:lncRNA from 10 species